UACGGAGGGUGCAAGCGUUAUCCGGAUUUACUGGGUUUAAAGGGUGCGCAGGCGGAUAUGUAAGUCAGUGGUGAAAUCUCUAGGCUUAACCUGGAAAUUGCCGUUGAUACUAUAUAUCUUGAAUGCUGUGGAGGUAAGCGGAAUAUGUCAUGUAGCGGUGAAAUGCUUAGAGAUGACAUAGAACACCUAUUGCGAAGGCAGCAGGCUAAACGAACAUUGACGCUGAGGCACGAAAGCGUGGGGAUCAAACAGG
rnacentral:rRNA from 1 species